rnacentral:rRNA from 1 species
UUUUAAUAUAUCUAGUUUUUUAAGAAAUUAAUUUAAUUUAGAUAUUUAUUUUUAAUAUUUUAAUUUUUUAAAAUAUUAUAAGUUAAAUAUUAAUAUUUUAAGGGAUGAGCUUUAAAAUAAAAUUUUAUAAAUAAUUAUUAUUAAUUAAUAAUUGUAGGCUUAGAAUUAGCUAUCAAUAGAAAUUAUGUUUUAAUUUAUUUUAUAUUUAAUAUUAUUUAUUAUUUAUUUUACUUUUUUUAUUAAAAUAUAAAUUUUAAUUUUAUAAAUUUAGCAAUAAUGAUAAAAUUAGUAAAUAUAUAAUUUUAUAAAUACAUUUUUUAAUGGGUGGUUUUUAUAAUUAAUUCGGCAAAUUUUGUGUUCACCUGUNUAUCAAAAACAUGUCUUUUUAGUAUUUUAAUAUAAAGUCUGACCUGCCCCUGAAUAAAGUUUGAAGGGCCGCAGUAUUUUGACUGUGCA